ensembl:snRNA U6 U6 spliceosomal RNA
GUGGUCACUUGGGCAGCACUUUUACUGAAAUUGGAACAAUACAGAGAAGAUUAGCAUGGCUCUGCACAAGGAUGACAUGGAAAUUCAUGAAGCAUUCCAUCUUUUU